rnacentral:misc_RNA from 1 species
UAGAGUUAUUUAACUCCUAAAACCCACUGUCAAUUUACCUAAUUGUUUCUUCGGCAGGUGGUCCCUGGGAGGGACCUGAAGCCUCUAUAAGGUACCUGUCGAAGACAGAAAACUCGUUUUUAAUUUAACGUCUUAAGUCUACUAUUAAAUUAAGUUA